GACGAACGCUGGCGGCGUGCUUAACACAUGCAAGUCGAACGGAAAGGCCCCUUUGGGGGUACUCGAGUGGCGAACGGGUGAGUAACACGUGAGUAACCUGCCCUUGACUUCGGGAUAACUUCAGGAAACUGGGGCUAAUACCGGAUAGGAAUCCUUGCUGCAUGGUGGGGGUUGGAAAGCUUCGGCGGUUUGGGAUGGACUCGCGGCUUAUCAGCUUGUUGGUGGGGUAGUGGCUUACCAAGGCUUUGACGGGUAGCCGGCCUGAGAGGGCGACCGGCCACAUUGGGACGGAGUUACAGCCCAGACUCCUACGGGAGGCAGCAGUGGAGAAUAUUGCACAAUCGGCAGAAGCCUGAUGCAACAACGCCGCGUGCGGGAUGACGGCCUUCGGGUUGUAAACCGCUUUCAGCAGGGGCGAAGCUUGUGGUGACGGUACCUGCAGAAGAAGCACCGGCUAACUACGUG
rnacentral:rRNA from 1 species